ACAUAGCCCCGAUUGCAGUGAAAAUCCUUUUUAUUUGUCAAAGACAAAUAAAAAGAUUGCAACGGAAAGCGGGUUAGAAU
rnacentral:sRNA from 1 species